UUUGACCCUUCAGGAAGUUCAGAAAUCAGACGAGUGUCUCUUUAGGCUACUGGAAGUUGUGAAAAUCUCCAAAAGAGCUGUGCUAAAUGAUUGUAACUUAACAGAUGAGAGCUGUUCAAAUUUGGCUAAAGCUCUCACAUCAGAUAACAAUCUGGUAGAGCUGAAUAUGAGCAAUAAUAAUCUAAAGGAUUCAGGAGUAAAGCAGCUCUGCAUUGGAUUGGAGAAUAUUAUGUGUAAAUUGGAGAUACUGAAGUUAAUACGCUGUGAUAUGACAGAUGAAGGUUGUUCUGCUCUGACUUCAGCUCUGAAAUCAAACCCAUCACACCUGAGAGAGCUGAACCUCAGUGGAAAUAAACUAGGAGACUCUGGAGUGAAAAACCUCAGUGAUCUACUGAUG